rnacentral:rRNA from 1 species
GACGAACGCUGGCGGCGUGCCUAACACAUGCAAGUCAACUUGACGGAAGGAGCAAUCUGACCGUAGAGUGGCGCAAGGGUGCGUAACGCGUAAGUAACUUGCCCCAAGGUAAGGAAUAACGUCGAGAAAUCGGCGCUAAUACCUCAUAAUGCAGCGGAUCCGCAUGGAUAUGUUGUUAAAGGUUUACCGCCUUGGGAUAGGCUUGCGUCUGAUUAGCUAGUUGGUGUGGUAACGGCACACCAAGGCUACGAUCAGUAACUGGUCUGAGAGGAUGAUCAGUCACACUGGAACUGAGACACGGUCCAGACUCCUACGGGAGGCAGCAGUGAGGAAUGUUGGGCAAUGCUCGAAAGAGUGACCCAGCAACGCCGCGUGGAGGAUGAAGGUAUUCUAUAUCGUAAACUCCUGUGAGAGCAGACGAAAGACAGAUUAAUUAACUCGUGGAUGACUGUAUGCU